rnacentral:pre_miRNA from 1 species
AAAAUACUCCCUCCGUCCGAAAAUACUUGUCAUCAAAAUGGAUAAAAGGAAAUGUAUCUAGACGUAUUUUAGUUCUAGAUACAUCUCUUUUUAUCCAUUUUGAUGACAAGUAUUUUCGGACGGAGCGAGUACCGG